rnacentral:rRNA from 1 species
AGUGAACGCUGGCGGUAGGCCUAACACAUGCAAGUCGAACGGCAGCACAGAGGAGCUUGCUCCUUGGUUGGCGAGUGGCGGACGGGUGAGGAAUACAUCGGAAUCUACUCUGUCGUGGGGGAUAACGUAGGGAAACUUACGCUAAUACCGCAUACGACCUACGGGUGAAAGCAGGGGACCUUCGGGCCUUGCGCGAUUGAAUGAGCCGAUGUCGGAUUAGCUAGUUGGCGGGGUAAAGGCCCACCAAGGCGACGAUCCGUAGCUGGUCUGAGAGGAUGAUCAGCCACACUGGAACUGGGACACGUUCUAGACUCCUGCGGCAGGGAGCAGUGGGGAAUACUGGACAAUGGGCGCCGGCCGGGUCCGGCCAUACCGCGUGGCUGGUGAGGGCCUUCGGGUUGUAGAGGCCGUUUGUGGGGACAGGAAUCCAGCUGGCUAAUACCUGGUUGAGCUGGUGGUACCCAAAUAAUAAGCACCGGCUAGCUUCGUGGCAGCCGCCGCCGUAA